rnacentral:rRNA from 1 species
GAUGAAUGCUGGCGGCGUGCCUAACACAUGCAAGUCGAGCGGCAGCGCGAGUAGUUUACUACUUGGCGGCGAGCGGCGGACGGCUGAGUAACGCGUGGGAACGUGCCCCAAAGUGAGGAAUAACUGCCCGAAAGGGUGGCUAAUGCCGCAUAUGAUCUUCGGAUUAAAGGAUUUAUCCGCUUUGGGAGCGGCCCGCGUCGGAUUAGGUUGUUGGUGAGGUAAUGGCUCACCAAGCCGACGAUCCGUAGCUGGUCUGAGAGGAUGAUCAGCCAGACUGGGACUGAGACACGGCCCAGACUCCUACGGGAGGCAGCAGUGAGGAAUCUUCCACAAUGGGCGAAAGCCUGAUGGAGCAACGCCGCGUGAAGGAUGAAGGCCUUCGGGUUGUAAACUUCUUUUAUAAGUGAAGAAUAUGACGGUAACUUAUGGAUAAGCACCGGCUAACUACGUGCCAGCAGCCGCGGUAACAC